AUUGAACGCUGGCGGCAGGCCUAACACAUGCAAGUCGAACGAGUGGCGGACGGGUGAGUAAUGUCUGGGAAACUGCCUGAUGGAGGGGGAUAACUACUGGAAAAGGUAGCUAAUACCGCAUACCAUCGGAUGUGCCCAGAUGGGAUUAGCUAGUAGGUGGGGUACAGGCUAAACUAGGCGACGAUCCCUAGCUGGUCUGAGAGGAUGACCAGCCACACUGGAACUGGUACACGGUCCAUACUCCUACGGGAGGCAGCAUUGGGGAAUAUUGCACAAUGGGCGCAAGCCUGAUGCAGCCAUGCCGCGUGUAUGACGACGGCCUUCGGGUUGUAAAGUACUUUCAGCGGGGAGGCGUUACCCGCAGAAGAAGCACCGGCUAACUCCGUGCCAGCAGCCGCGGUAAUUC
rnacentral:rRNA from 1 species